rnacentral:lncRNA from 1 species
GUCAGCUUAAAGGCAGGUUACACUUCUGCUCAGGCUCACAGAUCAACCACAAAACCAUGGCCGCCACAGUCACUGUUGAAUACUGUAAAGGAUGAAAUUACGCAUACCGCUACCAGGAACUAGCCGGUUUUGUCAGGCAGGUUCCUGGUGUGCAGUUGAAGGGAGUCACAGGAGGACCGGACAGUUUUGAGGUGUCUCUGAACGGCGAGCUGAUCUACUCCAAGAUUAAGACUGGAGAGUUCCCUGACCCCGAACAGAUGGCAGAGACGGUGAGAAUGAUGGUUCAUGGAGAAAAAGGGAAAACUAAGCGGUCUAAGCCUUGGAAUCUAAAAAACAAGUGCCCUCAGCAUUAGAAUGAAGCAGCGGCUGGAUUCACAGACACAUCAACGGCUUGUUUUCUGUUUUCUCUCCAUACCAGAUAUGAAAACAUGUUUUCUUUACUGCGAAUACUGAUGAGAAGAGGAUGAUGAAGAGCAUCUCGAAGAGGUCGGUCACUGAUUUGCUUCUGUUUAUGAAUGCACACACUUAAACAGUCGAGGUGUGUGUCAUGAUGCACGGUUAGAAGCUUUUCAGCCGACCCGGGGCCUGGAGAUCCGCUCACAUCAUGUCACAGCAUAUUUGACCUUUUGUUGUUGUACUGCUGCGCUGUUGUUGCCCAUUGUGUAACUUCUUUUUGCAGAAAUGUCAUAAAUGAUCUCUGACUGCUCCCUCGUUGUUUGUCUGUCCGAUCCUACGUACACAUGUUUUCAGUGAUGACACGUCUGGUGGAUUUUAUCAUCCAGAUAAAAAAAGAACAAACUUACUCAACUGUUCACGCUAGCAUAGAUAAAAUCAUGACGAUCUAAGCUCCUCCUCUUCGUUGGUGGAUCUUAUCUACUUAUGACCUGUUUAAUAAUGUCAUGUGAUUUAUACUGCUACUAGAACCAGUCAGG